rnacentral:rRNA from 1 species
AUUGAACGCUGGCGGCAGGCCUAACACAUGCAAGUCGAGCGGAUGAAGGGAGCUUGCUCCUGGAUUCAGCGGCGGACGGGUGAGUAAUGCCUAGGAAUCUGCCUGGUAGUGGGGGAUAACGUCCGGAAACGGGCGCUAAUACCGCAUACGUCCUGAGGGAGAAAGUGGGGGAUCUUCGGACCUCACGCUAUCAGAUGAGCCUAGGUCGGAUUAGCUAGUUGGUGGGGUAAAGGCCUACCAAGGCGACGAUCCGUAACUGGUCUGAGAGGAUGAUCAGUCACACUGGAACUUAGACACGGUCCAGGCUCCUACGGGAGGCAGCAGUGGGGUAUAUUGGACAGUGGGCGAAAGCCUGAUCCAGCCAUGCCGCGUGUGUGAAGAAGGUCUUCGGAUUGUAAAGCACUUUAAGUUGGGAGGAAGGGCAGUAAGUUAAUACCUUGCUGUUUUGACGUUACCAACAGAAUAAGCACCGGCUAACUUCGUG